rnacentral:rRNA from 1 species
AGCACAGGUUUACCUGUGUGACUGCGUACCUUUUGUAUAAUGGGUCAGCGACUUAUAUUCUGUAGCAAGGUUAACCGUAUAGGGGAGCCGUAGGGAAACCGAGUCUUAACCGGGCGUUAAGUUGCAGGGUAUAGACCCGAAACCCGGUGAUCUAGCCAUGGGCAGGUUGAAGGUUGGGUAACACUAACUGGAGGACCGAACCGACUAAUGUUGAAAAAUUAGCGGAUGACCUGUGGCUGGGGGUGAAAGGCCAAUCAAACCGGGAGAUAGCUGGUUCUCCCCGAAAGCUAUUUAGGUAGCGCCUCGUGAAUUCAUCUCCGGGGGUAGAGCACUGUUUCGGCUAGGGGGCCAUCCCGGCUUACCAACCCGAUGCAAACUGCGAAUACCGGAGAAUGUUAUCACGGGAGACACACGGCGGGUGCUAACGUCCGUCGUGAAGAGGGAAACAACCCAGACCGCCAGCUAAGGUCCCAAAGUCAUGGUUAAGUGGGAAACGAUGUGGGAAGGCCCAGACAGCCAGGAUGUUGGCUUAGAAGCAGCCAUCAUUUAAAGAAAGCGUAAUAGCUCACUGGUCGAGUCGGCCUGCGCGGAAGAUGUAACGGGGCUAAACCAUGCACCGAAGCUGCGGCAGCGAACGUAUCACUUAAAGCGAUUCAGCGGGUUACGAUUGA